rnacentral:rRNA from 1 species
AGGAGGCAGCAGUGGGGAAUAUUGCGCAAUGGGGGAAACCCUGACGCAGCAACGCCGCGUGAAGGAUGAAGGUCUUCGGAUUGUAAACUUCUUUGAUGAGGGAAGAAUAAAUGACGGUACCUCAAAAACAAGCCACGGCUAACUACGUGCCAGCAGCCGCGGUAAUACGUAGGUGGCGAGCGUUGUCCGGAAUUACUGGGUGUAAAGGGCGUGUAGGCGGGAUUGCAAGUCAGAUGUGAAAUUCCGGGGCUUAACCUCGGCGCUGCAUCUGAAACUGUAAUUCUUGAGUGCUGGAGAGGAUAGUGGUAUUCCUAGUGUAGCGGUGAAAUGCGUAGAUAUUAGGAGGAACACCAGUGGCGAAGGCGACUAUCUGGACAGUAACUGACGCUGAGGCGCGAAAGCGUGGGGAGCAAACAGGAUUAGAUACCCUAGUAA